UCUUCUCCAUGCUGAACAGCCCCAGCUCUCUCAGCCUGUCCUCAUAGAAGAGGUGUUCCAUCCCUUGGAUCACUUUCAUGGCCCUCCUCUGGAUGCACUCCAACUGUUCCAUGUCUUCCCUGUGCUAAGGACUCUACACCUGGGUGCAGCACACUGGAUGUAUAAGCAAAGUACAUUGUGGUUUGUUCAUGGAUUAAACAAUUCAGCAUUUUGGACCUAAUCUGGAAUGACGUUGCUGCUUUAGGUGGUGUUUUGAUGCUCAGAAGAUCACGGACUACUCAUUGUCUGCAUGGCUCACAGAAGUAAUAGGAGGCUUAUUUGAAUUCUGGGCUGUUUCUAUAACAUACAUUCAUUUCACUUGCCAUGGCAAACAAGGACUCUAAAACCAGAAGUAUGUGCAACCAUUGGCUGGACACGAUGGAUUUUACAAGGAAUAUGUCUGAAGAAACUCUAUCUCCAUAGUAUCUGUUGAAGAAAACAGCCUCGUGUGUCUCCCAUUAUCCAAUGGGAGAACUGGAGGAACAGAGAUGUGGAGCUGUCUGCUCAGAGCUAUAUAGGAGGCCAGUGACAAAUCCAGGAAUCCAAGCCAAGGCUCCUAAGUUGCAUCCUAAUUCUCUAAUCAGAACAGAAAUUUGCCUUCUGGCACUAUGAUGAGAUAAUGCAUGCAGGCUCUGACUGAGAAAAAAGGGGCUUCCCAGCAAGAACACAGUGGUCUGAGGUUCAACAGUGUUGGGAGCUUGAAAAAAGUAAGCAUAAUUCCUCAGGUUGGGGCAUGAUACAGCAAAUUAAUUUGGAUGAAGAAAGUGGUAACUUCAGGUACCAGGCACUCAGCUACAGACAAUUAGGGAAAUACACUCAGCAAUUACAAAGCUAUGCUAAUCAGGUUCAUUUUUGAUGGUCUGCUGAAUAGGAGGGAAGUUAAAAACCUUGAAUAUAUUAGUUAGUGGCACAGUGGCAGUGGUUUUGUGAGAGGAGAAACAAAUACUCUCCUCACAUCACUCAUGCCAGCAGUCUGAGCAGGAGGAAGGUGCAGGAACAUACAUAGAACCAGGACUGGUUUGUCUCUUUAGAAGGGAACAAUGGUAUUUCGACCAUUUUUACCAAAUCCCAGAGUGUGAGACAGCAUUUUAUGGACUGGGAAUUAUAUAACUGAAAGUCUAUGAGUUGGGAAAGAAUUACAGGAAGCCAGAGAGAGCUGGAACCUAAGCAUCCUGAAAUCUGUGACCGAGCCCCAAGGAUGCCUUGCAAGUCUUGUAAUAACAAGACCCCUUCACUGCCAGCUGUGUGUCUGUGGUCACCCCAUGGCAGUGUUUGUGAGGAAUGCAUACAGUGGCAGUGCCUCUUUCAGAGAACACCAGGAAAAUAGCAUGUGGCCAACCCGCAUGUCAUUUGUUCUCCUUAGCGGAGGUCUCACAUAUGCAGUACUUAAAUGGCACGUUCUGUUUCUGAGUAAGAUGAAGGUAACUGAUAGAAACCAUUCAAAAGCCUCUCUGGCUGUUGCUUAUGUUCCCUGCAAAGGGCUGAGGUGAACAGCUCUUUGGAGACGUGGCUUUACAUUGAACAUACGCAGGGCUGUGUCAUUAUUAAUUCUGCAAAUGUGUUUACAAUGGUUAGGUAAAAUAUUUAGUUACUAUUUAAAUAUUUUGAUGUAUUAUAGCUCAUACCCGAAUUUUAGAUGUCUACUGCACUUAACAUUUCCAAUUUAAAUAACCGGUUUCAUUAAGGUUUUUAGUGAUACAAAUUAAUAACAAAAGGCAGUUAAUGCAGAGUACGGUUAUAAGACCAAAAUACAUGUGGUUUGAAUUUAAAGAAUUAAAUGUUAGCAUUUCCCUAUAGAGAAAGGUUAUUUGGGCAGUGGUGUACUGACAUUAUCACCACCCACGGAGAAGGGGACCUGUUGAUCCUAUUGGUUAAGUAUGAAUUCAGAAACGGAAGAAAUGUUGGUCUAGAGGGUUUGCUUGGUGUGAGUGAAUCACACAGGAAAAAUGCUGAUACCUAGAGUAGCUCAGUGACCUUCUUUGAUGGUUAGAAAGAGAAAUAAGCACACAAGGUUUCUGUCAAAGUCAGAAGGUUUAGGUUGCUUGCUGGGUAAAAUCGCCCCAGGUUAUUAAUAUAGUGGAAAGUUAAAUGAUGAGCUUGGAAGUAUGAUAAUAAGCGCUGCUGUAAGUGAGACAGAAAUGAUUUUCUGUGGCCAGUAAGAACGAUAAUCCAACGUGUUAACCAUUGGGCUCGAGGGCUGCUAAGAAAAUAAAUGUGCAAAGUGGAUAAAAUAAAGGCUGGAAGUGUGUUUAAGUAGGUGUUUCUUCAAAGCUUUCUUCAGGAGGGUGUUUCUGGACAUUCUGCCCUACUGUUUUUGGCAAGACAUGUCUGUUAUAAUAAAGGGAGAAGAUGUCAAAUUCUCAUGACAAACCAGGUCCUGGAAAAGUGCUGAGUGCCAGGGGAAUGGAUGAACUUGAAAAUAAAAGGAUAUCUGGAAAUACGCAAGCUGAGUUACAUAAGGAUUGUAUUGCAAGUGAAGUUUACAAUAUGAUGGUUCACCUCAGCACAAGAGUGAGCCUGGUCACGUGCAACCAGGGAAAUCCACUGGGCUGUUUAUGGAAAGCAAACGUUAUGUGACCCUGAAUCUCACUUGGUAUUUUAAACCAUAGGAGUUUCAGAUUUGAGUCACAAUAAGUAGGACAUAUAUAUGUAUCUAUAUAGAAGCUUUUAAGCUCUGAGCAAGGCUUCUGCCUUGGCAAUAUUUUCACCUCAAAUUGGACAUCUGGUCCUCUAUUCUUGUAAAUCAUUGUAGCCUCAAUCCAAAGUCAGAAAUCAGAUGAGAGGCUUCCAAACUUUGGCAAGAAAUUCAAUGCAAAAACCUUUACAAUAUUCUCUUUUCUACUCUGUCCACUUUGAACUCCAGAACCCCUGUUCCAUCCAUCCACGUUACACCUCGCUUCUUCAUAGGGCUUCCUGCAGAGGGGUGAUAUCAGUAUCUCUCUGAUGCCUUAUUUGCCCCAGUGGAGCUUUCAGUAGGAGCAGAUACGUUCUUAGCACUGCAUGGAGAACACCCUCAGUCCAGGGUCUUCAUUGGGACAGUCCUCUGUCAGAGCACGAGCUGGAGAGGAUGGCACACAAGAGGCACACGUGGUUAAAAAUCUGUUUUCUUCUUUUAAUUCAGCACUUUGACCUGAAACAUCAAGGCAAGCUGCGCAAAGCAAAGAGCUGCUUGCAGAGUAGAAUGCUGCAAGGUAGGAAGAGAAGCUCUGCUUAAGAGAAGAUUCGUCUCAGUCUACAAAACAAUCCCACUACAGAAUAAAAUAAGAAGUAACGAGAUUUUCCACUGUUAAUUUCAUAGUAGCAAACCACAUGUUCUAAACAAUGUCUUAUUUUAUUUAUUUAUUUAAUUAUUUUUUUAUGUUUUGGUGUAAGGUCUCAUUUUUUAGUAACAAACCCCAGCCUAUUAGCCCUGCCAUUUUUCCACCGCUGGAGGAAAACGUGGACUCUUGCUGAGUUUGUACAGUGAAUAUCUCAGUGGUAUUUGAAUCUGCCUCCAGUAAAAGGCCUCUAAAUGCGCUCACAUGGAAGAACCAGCUCAAGGUAGAGGAAAUGGAAAAAAUGGGGAAAAGAAGAAACCUCUCUUUUGGAUCUGUAGCUUUGUUAUUUUUUUUAGAUUAUGUUUCUUCUGAGCUCCCAAAAUCUUCGGUAACAAACAAGUUUUCUUUUAAAAAGUAUUAAGUUAUCAAAGCAUUUGCCAGGUCCUAAUAUUAAAUCGUAGCAGUCAGCAACGUUUAAGUUCGGCUAUAUCAUUUUGCUGAGUAAGUCAUGCUAAAACUUAAAGUUUUCCCCUUAAAAUGAUCCUUCCAAAUGAGAUUGAUAUGGUGAGAAACAAAAAAAAGAAAAAAGAGAGGGACGCCUUCAUCGUAAGGAAUUAUGGAAUUAAUUUUCUUUAUACACUGUGUUUGCACAGGACAUUUUUGUUAACUCUUAAUAAAAAUACCAUUCAGCUGCUACUUUCAUUGUUUUUAUCCUGGGACCAAUACAACAUUGUCAUUAUUGGAUAUAAAGUGCUGUAAAAACAAAUCUAAUUUGUUAAGUUUAUUUUGAUAAGAAAUAAAUAUAAAGGUAGUGCAUAGUUUGUAUAGUGCUGCUAUCAUAGGACUCCUGGGUAUAAUUUAUAUAAAGAAAAUAAAAAAGCAUACAUAACUUUCUAGUUGAUUUCCUUUAACAGGGCUAAUUGAAAACAGUUUCUGUUAUUUAAAAGUAAUUUAUUUUAAAUAUAGUUUUUCAAACAAAGUUCUUAUUGAUAUCCAUUUUAAGUAUAAUAUUAUCUCAGUGUGGGAUACAAGUAAAAGGUCAAAUCUUGUAGGAGUAUUUUCUGUAUGACUCAGUUCUGAUCAUAGAUAAACUUAUCAGGGAAACCAAAUUAGUUAACCUUUUCAGUACCGCAAGCUUGUUUUAGAAGGCCACAACUGUUUCUUUCACAAAGGCAGUGCUUCAAAGCUGGCACUUUUGUACUGAAACAUGAAAAAGAGCGUGCUGAUUUCCCUUUUCUCUGUCUGAUAGCACGCGAAGGCUGGUGAUUUUGAACAUGAAAUUAGUCUUGGUGAAAUUCAGUAGAUGGCCACACACAGUAUUUGUUUUCAGUUGUGUUGUUAUGUAAUAAAGAUGUGCAAUUUCUUAACUCCAUGACAUCUUUCAUUUUCAGACACUGUUAAAAUAUAUGCUUUCUUUUGUCCAGUA